GACCAAUCGGCUCUCUGUAAAAUGGACCAAUCAGCAGGAUGUGGGUGGGGCCAGAUAAGAAUAAAAGCAGGCUGCUGGAGCCACCCGUAACAACCCGCUCUGAUUCUCUUCCAAAUAAUGGGAAGGUUUUUCCCCCCGUUUUUACAGUAAGUUUUGCUGCUAAUCACUUUGGAUUUUCACUGCAUUUAUGAGCUGUGACAUUCACUGUGAAGGUUUAAGGUUUUGCUGUUGAAGCUGGCAAAACCACAAAACCACCAAGAGAAACUAACAGUUCCACAGGCACUGUCUUAAGAGCUGUAACACCCACCAUGAAGGUCUGCAGUUUCACUCCUGAGCCAGCGAGACCAUGAACCCAGCGCAAGGAAAAAAGUGCAAGUACAUCCGAACUUCAGAACAUCAGAAAGAAGAAACUCUGGACAGGCCCCCUUUAAGAACUGUGACACCACCUGCGAGGGUCUGCGGCUUCAUUCUUGAAGUCAGCCCAAGAACCCACCGAUUUUAGACACACUGGGUUCAAGCGAUUUUCCUGCCUCAGCCUUCCAAGUAGCUGGGAUUACAGGUGUCCACCACCACGCCGGGAACCUUCCAGGUCUGAGCUGAGGUGUCAUCUCUGAACACCAGGCUGCUGCACUAACCAGAAGACCCCUCCCCACCUGCAGUGGCCUCGCUGCAUCGUAAGGAUGGAGGAGCUGUUGUCUCCACAGCUGACAGGUGCUUAGUGGUUAGAAGUCUGGUUUUCGCGCGGCUUAGAUCUUUAACAUCUGAACUAGUCCUGUCAACAUAUUUUGUUAUAUUUCUGGUGGCUUUGUCUUUGAUGCUAUUAUAAAUGAUUAUCUUUUAAAAUAAUACUUUGAUGAUAUAUAGAAAUGAAAUUGAUUUAUUUGACUGUAUCCAGCAACCUUUUCAAAUUCUAAUAAAUUGUGUAGGGAAAAAAAAGUCUGGCUUCGGAGUCAGAACGGAAUUGAAUCCUGCCUCCACCACUUCCUACCUAUAUGACCUGGUGAAACUUAUCCCUCUCUGUGACUCAGUUUCCUCAUCUGUAAAAUGGGAAAAUUGAAAGCAACUAACAGGUUUGGGGCCGUUUUGCUUGCUGCUGCUGUGGCUUCAGUGCUGAGGCCUGGCACUCAGCGGGAUGUCAGCCCAGGACUGGAGCUUCUUUCUCAUGGUAUUAUUUUGAAUUUAGAUGAAAAGAGGUAUUCCAGGAGAGCUCCUGGCACAGGGCCUGGCAGGUGGCACAUCCUCAGUAAAUGUGAGCUGCUGUCAGCUGCUGUGUGAGUGCCUGGUGUGGCCCUGUUGUCCCCUUGAGGGUUGGGGGACAAAACAGGCCCUCAGGAAGCCUGCCUGUGUAUUCGGGGGCUGGGGAGAUCUCUGACCUCCUGUCUCCUAGCUCCACCAGCAUCUCUCACCUCCCCCAGCAAUGUACAACCCCUUCUUUUCCCAUAGCUUAGGCCCCUGAGGUACCAGCCCCCCAGCCUAGGGACAGCCCAGUGGCAAACUCCUGGUGACCUGGGUCAAGCUGCUGUUCUCCAAUCCCAACUCGGCUCUUCCCGUGACUUGGCCCCCAGGCCUUGGGUGAGGCUCCGAUGAAAUAACACACAGGAAUGUGCGCUGAACACUGCCAAGCACUGCAGGUGGGCAGGGGCUUUGUGCUCCCCAGCGACUGUUCCUAUCCUGCGGGAAUGGAGGAGACCGACAAAGAAGCCCCACUCCUGGGCUGACAUCCUGCCAGUGCCAGCCGGGCCUCAGCACCAGUGGGUCAGCCAGAACAGCAACGACGAACAAUGAGGCCCCAAACCCGUGGGCCCCCCACUUUCUAUCUUGAAUUUCUCUGUCUUUCCUAGGCCAGCAAUGUUUGAGAGGGAGAGCGAGCUGAAGAUUUCCUGAUUUCAGAUAGGCCUAGAGAAGGAUUGUAAUUUUCUAGUGUGAAAAGGAAGUGGCACAAAGAUGAGGGCAAUGAAGAAGAUGGUUCAAUGGAAGUACCAGGGUCCUGUAAAUAGGGAACGUGUUUUAUGAUCAAACCGUUCUUUGCAUUUUUGGUGAUUUUGAGGUUUAAUUUCCUCUAUGUAGUUAGUUAACUAUUUAACACUGAGAGCAGGGGUAGGGAUAAGGCAAACAACAAAAAAGCCAAAAUGAAACCAACUUCUGUGGGGUUUCCCCACCCCAGGGAGGUGGAGGCUGAGGUAGAACUGACUGAGAGAAUCACCCUCCCUGCACUGUGAUGAAGACACAUCCACACAUCAGGACUACACAGCUGGCAGGUGCUGGCUGUCCAGAGGAGCAAACAGCUUCUUCCUUGUGUUUCUGUGUCUCUUAGUAGAAAUCUGUGCCCUUGGGAGAAAACUGAAUUUGCACCCCUUGAGGCAAACACUUGACCAAAUGAAUUAGGCAGAUGGGUGGAUGGGUGGGUGAAUGGGCAGGAGGUGUGACAGGCAGGAGGCGUGACAGGGAAAGAACACUGUUCUGACAGGCACACACUGCCACAUCUGCCCUCCCAACAACCCCGAUACAGACACUGUUGUUAACCCUCCUUUUACAGAUGAGGAAACUGAAGUUAAUUUGCUCGUGGUAACACAGCUAGGCAAGUGGCUACGUUCAGCUGGAGAAAAGGAAAAUUCUGAAAGACUUUAGGAUACAUCUUAUUCAAAAGCAUUUGGUGAACAUAAAUAUGUACCCAAGGUAUAAUAUUAAGUGAACCAAGCUUGUUAUAAAGCAGUAUGAGUCCUGUCUGAUUCCAACUUUAUAAAAAAUAGAUGCAUAUGUCAAUAAAUGCACAGAAAAGGGUAUACCCUAAAAUGUUAAUAAUGGUGAUCUCUGGGUUAUGACACAAAAUAUUGAUUGGUCUUUGGGCUUUUCUUUAAUUUUAAAAUGUUAAUAGACAUGUAUUAUCUUAAUAAUGGGAGGAGCCACAGAAAAAGUGCUUUUCAAAAACAUGAAAUCAAUAAGCCCAUGCAGGACCUGCAGGGGGCUGCAGUCACCUGGGCCUCAUAGGCUUGGCAAAGGCUUUAGUUAUGCCCUGAUUGGAGGCCACUGGCAUGGAGAAGCUGUAGGUCAGCUAACUGGAACUAGGACAUCCAAUGUGAUUGGUUAUGUGUGCAUAUUUGUCUUUCUUCAUUGGGUCCUAAGUUGCAAGCAGGCGCAAAAAUUAAGGAAGCUGUGAGUCAAUGAAGUCCUGGCUGUUUUUCAGCUGGUUGCUAUAGGGUUGUUUUUUGACUUUCUAGACUGGUUGCUGUAGAGGUGGGUCAGAGUUUUACUUUCAUCUAUGGUCUGGCCAUUGUAUUUGUAUAUUCAGUCUCUUAGUCACCCCUUUUGGUCAUUCGCUUACUUUCAAGAGGUUGGCCAAUUCAAGGAAAGCUGGAAAUCUAGCUCUUUAUCACUCAGAGAUUAUUCAGUAAACUCCAUAUAAAACUGUAUUGCAAAAUAUUCCUGACCUUUUUGUUUUUGUAUCAUCAUGGUGAUUUUGACUAGAGAGCAGAUGUGCAGAAGCUUUUAAGAAUCUAGAUAGCACGCAGCAUCAUGUCCACUCUUACAAAGCCAGAAUAAUUAAUAGUUCCUAUAAGGUGAUUUGGAACCAGGAACCUCAAUUGCCAAAUCAAGGCCAAAAUAACAAAUUUGAUAGAUUAUGGGAUCAACCUUAGCCAAAUAGCUUAUACCAUGAAACAAUAUAUAAUAGUUCCAACUUGCUUGUUUCUUUGAUCCAAGGACAAGAAGUAUGAGCAACGGCACAGACACCAGGAUGACUAAAAGAAAAAAAAAAAAAAAACCUAGGGUAAUGUUAUUGUCUAUCACUGCCCAUGCCAAUGAGUUGAGAUUGUUCUGUAUUUGUAUCUAGGACAAAGGCAAUAUCAUCAAUAACUUCUGCCAGAGUGAGUAUCUUAGUCCAUUCAGGCUGCUGUACUAAAAUACCAUAAUUUGGGUGGCUUAUAAAGAAUAGAAAUGUAUUUCUUUCAGUUCUAGAAACUGAGAAAAUCAAGAUAAAGACGCCAGCAGACUCGAGGCCAGGUGUGAUAGCUCAUGCCUGUAAUCCCAGAACUUUGGGAGGCUGAGGUGGGUGGAUCACCUGAGGUCUGGAGUUCAAGACCAGCUUGACCAACAUGGAGAAACCCCGUCUCUACUAAAAAUACAAAAUUAGCCAGGUGUGGUGGUGGGCAACUGUAAUCCCAGCUACUCAGGAGGCGGAGACGGAAGAAUUCCUUGAACCGGGAGGCGGAGGUUGUAGUGAGCUGAGAUCGCGCCACUGCUCCCCAGCCUGGGCCGGAGCCAGACUGUGUCUCAAAAACAAACAACAAAAUAAAACAAGAAAAGAUUUAAUGGAAGACCUCAAUAAGCCAUUGUAGGCUGUAAAAUUCACCUAGUCCAAUCUUUCAGAGUCGUUUUGGACUUGAUAGUAGCUCAGUACCAAGAUCAUUACAGAAGUUAAUACCAAUAAUAGCCAUUGAAUAUAUUGUCUCUAUAAUGUGGAUCAAAUUCUCAUUUGACUGUACUGACAUUGGUGAUAGAAGGUGCAACCUGAUUUACGCUGGGGUAUAUCAGGUGAUUAAAGUUAAGGCAGGCUAGAGAAAAAGUGAAAGCACUCAAAUUGCUGAUUUGGAGUGAAUGAUAAAGCAAUUUAAUACACCGUCUCUAAAGCAUCCGUUUUCGCCUGUCCGAAGAGUUUUAAAGGAUAUUUGGCCAGAAAAUUUCUACCAUGUGUCAGAAUAUUAAUUUGCAUGUAUGCAUUCAUAGUUCAUGGGAUAUUAUUUUAGUGGUUUUAUUAUAACUGCAUAGAAUGGUUUGCUUCUUACUGAAGAUCUUUCUUUUUUUCUUUCGUUCUUUCUCUUUCUUACAGCCAUAGGUGCUUUAAGUCAUUAAACUUUGAGCACUGUAAAAAUAUCUAAAGAGUGCUUAUUUUUAUAACAUUAAUACUCCAUUUGCAACUUUAAUUAUAGUUACUUCAUUUUUAAAAUCUCAGAAGAUAAUGAAAUAUGUAGAAUUGCCAAAACAAUUGAGAAAGCUCACUGCAUUCGUUUGGUAGAGCUGUCGUAACAAAGUGCCAUGGACUGGAUGGCUUAAACAGAAACUUACUUUCUCACAGUUUUAGAUGCCAAAAGUCCAAGAUUAAAGGUAUUGGUAGGUUUGGUUUCUUCUGAGACCUAUUCAAUUGGUCCAUAGACUGCUAUCGUCUCCCCGUGUCUUUACAUCGUCAUUUCUCUGUAUGUGUCUGUGUGUAAAUGUUCUCCUCUUAGAAGCACGCCAGUCACAUUGGAUUAGGACGCACCCUACUGACCUUAUUUAACCUUAAUUGUGUACUUCUCUAAAGACCUUGUCUCCAAGUAUAGAUACUCCGUGAUAUUGAGGGUUAGGACUUCAACACAUGAAUUUGGCGGGGGUGGGUGGGCACAAUUUAGCUCAUAAAACUCACUAAGGUUUAAUUAGGGCAUGGACUGUAGAGCAUUCUACUGUUAAUUUAGUUUUUGUGUUUGGAAAGCAUUUUGAAACAUAAUGAUUUUUAUUUACAAUUUCAUUAUUUAUAUUUUCAUUAUGUUUAGGGUUGCUUGGAGGUAAAUGAAGAAAGAAGAGUUCCGCAUUAGUGAGGCAGGGAUGUCAGUAUAUAAGGAAUUGGAAAGACAUCAGUGAUAAUGGCAAAAGCUGCUUAUAAAUUAAAUUAAGAGCUUAAUUAAACUGAGGAAAAAAGCAUAUUGCCAAAUUACAUGCAGUUGUUUUGUAACAGCAUUUGUCCACUUGCUGUGCCCUGAGAUUUCCAAGGCACAUUCCUCUACUAAGCGUAUUAUAAGAUGAUUAAAUAUGCAUAGUACAAGUAUGUUAUGGAAGGCUGUGUUAACUGAUAUAGUGGGACCACAAUAGUAUGUGUAAGUGAGAUUUGGAAAAUUUGAUAUGCCAGCAAGGACAAAGAAGUGUUGAAUUUGCAAGUUUAUGCACAUAAUUCUGAGAAUCCAGGCAGCUAUUUCUCCUUUUGAAUUGUUCUCUUGGCUAGGGGAUAAGGGUGAGACACAAUACACAUUUGAAUGUGUCACUGUGUAAGUUACCACUGCAAUAUCUUCUGUAUGUUGAAAAACUGGUACUUAUAUGUACUAAUACUAUCUACCAUGAAAAAAACAAUUAAAAAUUUAAAAUAUCAUGUAAAUUAAAUAAAGUUCAAAUACCACUAGCCAGAAAAAAAUAUUUUAUAUUAUAGUCUGGGGUCAGAAGAGGAAAACCUUAUGUAAAGUAUCAAAAUUAAUUUUUAUUUCAAUUUAAAUGCACCAUCAUAUAACAUAGUUUCAUAACUGAAAUUACAUUUGUCAGAAUUUGAUCUUUUCAUUAUUAAAGAAUUGAGGGAAAAUUGAUGGUUAUAAUAUUGAUAUGCCAUGUAAAUAAACUUUUUUUGAUUGUUAUAGGAAUGAAUUGCUCAACUAAUUGGCCAAUGUCAACCACAUAUCUGUUUCCAUGGAAACUGCAGCAAUAUUACUUCAAAUAGUUUCAUUUGUGAAUGUGAUAAACAAUUUUCAGAUAAAAAAUGUAUACAUACAUA
rnacentral:lncRNA from 1 species